UACGUAGGGUGCAAGCGUUGUCCGGAAUUAUUGGGCGUAAAGAGCGCGUAGGCGGUCCGGUAAGUCCGCUCUGAAAGUCCGGGGCUCAACCCCGAAACUUGGCAGUGGGCUACGGGCAGACUAGAGGUGUGGUAGGGGAGACUGGAAUUCCUGGGUGUAGCGGUGAAAUGCGCAGAUAUCAGGAGGAACACCGGUGGCGAAGGCGGGUCUCUGGGCCGAUACUGACGCUGGAGGAGCGAAAGCGUGGGGAGCGAACAGG
rnacentral:rRNA from 1 species